AGGGAUGUAGCUCAGUGGUAGAGUACUUGCCUAGCAAGCAAGAGCCCCAGGGUUCGAUCCCCAGCAAUACAA
rnacentral:tRNA from 1 species